rnacentral:rRNA from 1 species
CCUACGGGGGGCAGCAGUGGGGGAUAUUGCACAAUGGGGGAAACCCUGAUGCAGCGACGCCGCGUGGGCGAAGAAGUAUUUCGGUAUGUAAAGCCCUAUCAGCAGGGAAGAAGAAAUGACGGUACCUGACUAAGAAGCCCCGGCUAACUACGUGCCAGCAGCCGCGGUAAUACGUAGGGGGCAAGCGUUAUCCGGAUUUACUGGGUGGAAAGGGGGCGCAGACGGCAGCGCAAGCCAGGAGUGAAAGCCCGGGGCCCAACCCCGGGACUGCUCUUGGAACUGCGCGGCUGGAGUGCAGGAGAGGCAGUCGGAAUUCCUGGUGUAGCGGUGCAAUGCGUAGAUAUCAGGAGGAACACCGGUGGCGAAGGCGGCCUGCUGGACUGCGACUGACGUUGAGGCCCGAAAGCGUGGGGAGCAAACAGGAUUAGAUACCCUUGUAGUC